GGUUUAGGUUUUCUGUUCCAUUUAAAUAGUUAAAUACGCAGCUUUUAGGAGAGGAGGUAAGGAAAAACAACAGAAAGAAAAAGAGCAGAAAAGAGAGAAUGGGGAAAGAGAAAAAUAUAGCAGAAAUUUUUCCGAAAAAUUUCUUGAGCAAGGGCUGAUGAUCCAGUCAGCUUCUUGACCCUAUUCUGAUCUCUUUAGAGCUUCUCCUAAGCAAGUGUUUGUUUCUGGGUAAUCUAUGAUUGUUGGAGAGAAAAUUUGGUGUUGAAUUUUUUUUUGGAAAAAACUGCUGCAACAUCUUCGGAUUGAGGUCUGAACUUGCUGCUUUCACCAUCCUUAAAGAACUGCAGCAAAAAGUUCUUUCUUCGUUUUUAGCAAUUUAGGUGAUCGUUUAAAGUUUUUCCCACAUUAAUUCAGUCCCCAACCAUUUAUAGGUUUGAAGAUGGUCUGAUGUUUGAUGAUUUGAUGAAUCGGCCGAGCUUUCGAUGGACCCAUUCUUGGAUCCACCAGAAGCUAGCCUCGUUCUUUCUUUUCUUGCAUUUUCCGUUGGUUUCCUUCCUCUGUUUGAUCUUCAAUAGCUUGAUGUCUGCAGUUGGGCUGUAUUAAUCAAAAUGGGUUGCAGCUUAUGCUGGGUUUGAGGUUGAAAAUUGCUGGGUUUUGUUUGGGUUUGUGACAUGGGUUUGGGUAUUCAAGCCCAAUCUCUUUUUUGGUUGGAACAAUGGAAAUAAUGUGGGCAAAAUUCGCUGGGCCAAAGUGUUCGGCCUAGACCAAAGCAGAUAAAAAGAAAAGAAAAGGCCCAUCGUUUUUUUGGGGUCAAAUCAGAAACGGACUUUGCAA